CGUAUCACCCAAGACAACUUUACGGAGUUGACGAUUGACGGAGCGAAGCGACGUCAAAGCGUUCAUUAAAGUCGAGUUGGCUUAGGGAUACGUUCGUUGGGUAGGGGAGCGUUCUGUAAGCCUGUGAAGGUGUGUCGUGAGGCAUGCUGGAGGUAUCAGAAGUGCGAAUGCUGACAUAAGUAACGAUAAAGCGGGUGAAAAGCCCGCUCGCCGGAAGACCAAGGGUUCCUGUCCAACGUUAAUCGGGGCAGGGUGAGUCGACCCCUAAGGCGAGGCCGAAAGGCGUAGUCGAUGGGAAACGGGUUAAUAUUCCCGUACUUGGUGUUACUGCGAAGGGGGGACGGAGAAGGCUAUGUUGGCCGGGCGACGGUUGUCCCGGUUUAAGCGUGUAGGUGUGUGUUCCAGGUAAAUCCGGUUCACUUUAACACUGAGGCGUGACGACGAGGCACUACGGUGCUGAAGCAACAAAUGCCCUGCUUCCAGGAAAAGCCUCUAAGCAUCAGGUAACAUCAAAUCGUACCCCAAACCGACACAGGUGGUCAGGUAGAGAAUACCAAGGCGCUUGAGAGAACUCGGGUGAAGGAACUAGGCAAAAUGGUGCCGUAACUUCGGGAGAAGGCACGCUGACACGUAGGUGAAGUGAUUUACUCAUGGAGCUGAAGUCAGUCGAAGAUACCAGCUGGCUGCAACUGUUUAUUAAAAACACAGCACUGUGCAAACACGAAAGUGGACGUAUACGGUGUGACGCCUGCCCGGUGCCGGAAGGUUAAUUGAUGGGGUCAGCGCAAGCGAAGCUCCUGAUCGAAGCCCCGGUAAACGGCGGCCGUAACUAUAACGGUCCUAAGGUAGCGAAAUUCCUUGUCGGGUAAGUUCCGACCUGCACGAAUGGCGUAAUGAUGGCCAGGCUGUCUCCACCCGAGACUCAGUGAAAUUGAACUCGCUGUGAAGAUGCAGUGUACCCGCGGCAAGACGGAAAGACCCCGUGAACCUUUACUAUAGCUUGACACUGAACAUUGAGCCUUGAUGUGUAGGAUAGGUGGGAGGCUUUGAAGUGUGGACGCCAGUCUGCAUGGAGCCGACCUUGAAAUACCACCCUUUAAUGUUUGAUGUUCUAACGUGGACCCGUAAUCCGGGUUGCGGACAGUGUCUGGUGGGUAGUUUGACUGGGGCGGUCUCCUCCUAAAGAGUAACGGAGGAGCACGAAGGUUGGCUAAUCCUGGUCGGACAUCAGGAGGUUAGUGCAAUGGCAUAAGCCAGCUUGACUGCGAGCGUGACGGCGCGAGCAGGUGCGAAAGCAGGUCAUAGUGAUCCGGUGGUUCUGAAUGGAAGGGCCAUCGCUCAACGGAUAAAAGGUACUCCGGGGAUAACAGGCUGAUACCGCCCAAGAGUUCAUAUCGACGGCGGUGUUUGGCACCUCGAUGUCGGCUCAUCACAUCCUGGGGCUGAAGUAGGUCCCAAGGGUAUGGCUGUUCGCCAUUUAAAGUGGUACGCGAGCUGGGUUUAGAACGUCGUGAGACAGUUCGGUCCCUAUCUGCCGUGGGCGCUGGAGAACUGAGGGGGGCUGCUCCUAGUACGAGAGGACCGGAGUGGACGCAUCACUGGUGUUCGGGUUGUCAUGCCAAUGGCACUGCCCGGUAGCUAAAUGCGGAAGAGAUAA
rnacentral:rRNA from 1 species